AAGUGCCCUAAGGACUGGAAUAAAUAUGGAAACAAUUGUUACAAGCGUUUAUAUUCUUCACUUGGAUGGACCAAUUCGCAGAAAGCGUGUGGCAAAUUGGGUGCAACAUUGGCUCAGAUAAAUAGCGAGGAUGAAAACGUGUGGCUUUCAAAGACAUUUAGUGGAUUGGACGCUUGGAUCGAUGCUACAGAUUUCCCAAAUGAAGGGGAAUGGAGAUGGUACUCAACCGAAAAAUUGGUCAAAUACACUGCUUGGAACGAUAAAGAACCGAAUAACGCAGGGCGGAGAGAGCAUUGUGCACACGUCUUCCUGUUCAAAAGGAAAGCUUUGUGGAAUGACGAUAUUUGUACAGACAGGCGACAGGCUCUGUGCAUGAAAAAAGCAGCAUGACAGA